UAAUACGAAGGGGGCUAGCGUUGUUCGGAUUUACUGGGCGUAAAGCGCACGUAGGCGGCUUGUUAAGUCAGAGGUGAAAUCCCAGGGCUCAACCCUGGAACUGCCUUUGAUACUGGCAGGCUCGAGUAUGGUAGAGGUUGGUGGAACUCCGAGUGUAGAGGUGAAAUUCGUAGAUAUUCGGAAGAACACCAGUGGCGAAGGCGGCCAACUGGACCAUUACUGACGCUGAGGUGCGAAAGCGUGGGGAGCAAACAGG
rnacentral:rRNA from 1 species